rnacentral:rRNA from 1 species
AUUGAACGCAUGCGGCAAGCCUAACACAUGCUAUUCGAACUAGUGGCGGACGGGUGUGAAAUGUCUGGGAAACUGCCUGAUGGAGGGGGUAAACUACUGGAAACUGUAGCAAAUACCGCAUACCUCCGGAUGUGCCCAGAUGGGAGUAGCUAGUAGGUGGGGUAAAGGCUCCCCUAGGCGACGAUCCCUAGCUGGUCUGAGAGGAUGACCAGCCAAACUGGAACUGAGACACGGUCCAGACUCCUACGGGAGGCAGCAGGGGGGAAUAUUGCACAAUGAGCGCAAGCCUGAUGCAGCCAUGCCGCGUGUAUGAAGAAGGCCUUCGGGUUGUAAAGUACGUUCAGCGGCGUGGCGUUACCCGCAGAGGAAGCACCGGCUAACUCCGUGCCAGCAGCCGCGGUAAUAC